rnacentral:rRNA from 1 species
GACGUAGGGCGCGAGCGUUGUCCGGAUUUAUUGGGCGUAAAGAGCUCGUAGGCGGCUUGUCGCGUCGUUCGUGAAAACUUGGGGCUCAACCCCAAGCUUGCGGUCGAUACGGGCAGGCUAGAGUUCGGUAGGGGAGACUGGAAUUCCUGGUGUAGCGGUGAAAUGCGCAGAUAUCAGGAGGAACACCGGUGGCGAAGGCGGGUCUCUGGGCCGAUACUGACGCUGAGGAGCGAAAGUGUGGGGAGCGAACAGG